rnacentral:rRNA from 1 species
UGCCAGCAGCCGCGGUAAUACGGGGGAUGCAAGCGUUAUUCGGAAUCAUUGGGCGUAAAGGGCACGCAGGCGGUCUUGUCAGUCAGAUGUGAAAGCCCGGGGCUCAACCUCGGACGUGCAUUUGAAACAGCAAGACUUGAGUACGGUAGAGGAAAGCGGAAUUCCUGGUGUAGAGGUGAAAUUCGUAGAUAUCAGGAGGAACACCGGUGGCGAAGGCGCUGGCCUGGACGAUGACUGACGCUGAGGUGCGAAAGCAUGGGGAGCGAACAGGAUUAGAUA